CUUACGCCAUGCAAGUCGACCGGGCAUUGAGGGUUAGCCUUGGCUCCCUGUGGAUUGCAAGCGUCCGUGACGGGUGAAGUAAUCCCUUAGUAAUCUGCCUGUUAGUUGGGGAUUACGUCCUGAAACGGGCCCUAAUACCGCAUACCGUCCUGAGGGGAGAUAUAUCGGGGAAUUUUCGGACCUCACGCUGUAUCAGUAUGAGCCUAGUCGGAUUAACUAUUGUUGGGUUAAGGCCUGACCAAGGCGACGAUCCGUAACUGGUUCUGUAGAGGAUGAUCAGUCACACUGGAAUUGAGACCGGUCCAGACUCCUACGGGAGUCACAGUGGGGAAUAUUGGACAAUGGGCGAAAGCCUGAUCCAGCCAUGCCGCGUGUGUGAAGAAGGUCUUCGGAUUGUAAAGCACUUUAAGUUGGGAGGAAGGGCAGUAAGGUAAUACCUUGCUGUUUUGACGUUACCAACAGAAUAAGCACCGGCUAACUUCGUGCCAGCAGCCGCGGUAAUACGAAGGGUGCAAGCGUUAAUCGGAAUUACUGGGCGUAAAGCGCUGCGUAGUGGUUCAGCAAGUUGGAUGUGAAAUCCCCGGGCUCAACCUGGGAACUGCAUCCAAAACUACUGAGCUAGAGUACGGUAGAGGGUGGUGGAAUUUCCUGUGUAGCGGUGAAAUGCGUAGAUAUAGGAAGGAACACCAGUGGCGAAGGCGACCACCUGGACUGAUACUGACACUGAGGUGCGAAAGCUGGGGAGCAUACAGGAUUAGAUACCCUGGUAGUCCACGCCGUAAACGAUGUCGACUACCGUUGGGAUCCUUGAGAUCUUAGUGGCGCAGCUAA
rnacentral:rRNA from 1 species